GAUGAACGCUAGCGGCAGGCUUAACACAUGCAAGUCGAACGGCAGCACAGGUAGCAAUACUGGGUGGCGAGUGGCGCACGGGUGCGUAACGCGUAUGCAACCUACCUCUAUCUGGGAGAUAGCCCGAAGAAAUUCGGAUUAAUACCCCAUAAUAUAUGUCUUUCGCAUGUUAGACAUAUUAAAGCUUUGGCGGAUAGAGAUGGGCAUGCGUGACAUUAGCUAGUUGGUAGGGUAAUGGCCUACCAAGGCUACGAUGUCUAGCUGGUCUGAGAGGAUGAUCAGCCACACUGGAACUGAGACACGGUCCAGACCCCUACGGGAGGCAGCAGUGAGGAAUAUUCGACAAUGGGGGAAACCCUGAUCGAGCCAUGCCGCGUGUGUGAUGAAGGCCUUAGGGUUGUAAAGCACUUUUCAUUGGUGAAGAUAAUGAACGGUAACCAAAGAAGAAGCCCCGACUAACUUCGUGCCAGCAGCCG
rnacentral:rRNA from 1 species